GAUGAACGCUGGCGGCGUGCUUAACACAUGCAAGUCGAACGGAAAGGCCCAAGCUUGCUUGGGUACUCGAGUGGCGAACGGGUGAGUAACACGUGGGUGAUCUGCCCUGCACUUCGGGAUAAGCCUGGGAAACUGGGUCUAAUACCGGAUAGGACCACUUCUUGGAUGUUGUGGUGGAAAGUUUUUUCGGUGUGGGAUGAGCUCGCGGCCUAUCAGCUUGUUGGUGGGGUAAUGGCCUACCAAGGCGUCGACGGGUAGCCGGCCUGAGAGGGUGUACGGCCACAUUGGGACUGAGAUACGGCCCAGACUCCUACGGGAGGCAGCAGUGGGGAAUAUUGCACAAUGGGCGCAAGCCGGAUGCAGCGACGCCGCGUGGGGGAUGACGGCCUUCGGGUUGUAAACUCCUUUCGCUAGGGACGAAGCGUUUUGUGACGGUACCUGGAGAAGAAGCACCGGCUAACUACGUG
rnacentral:rRNA from 1 species